GACGAACGCUGGCGGCGUGCUUAACACAUGCAAGUCGAACGGAAAGGCCCUGCUUUUGUGGGGUGCUCGAGUGGCGAACGGGUGAGUAACACGUGAGUAACCUGCCCUUGACUUUGGGAUAACUUCAGGAAACUGGGGCUAAUACCGGAUAGGAGCUCCUGCUGCAUGGUGGGGGUUGGAAAGUUUCGGCGGUUGGGGAUGGACUCGCGGCUUAUCAGCUUGUUGGUGGGGUAGUGGCCUACCAAGGCUUUGACGGGUAGCCGGCCUGAGCGGGUGACCGGCCACAUUGGGACUAAGAUGCGGCCCAGACUCCUACGGGAGGCAGCAGUGGGGAAUAUUGCACAAUGGGCGGAAGCCUGAUGCAGCAACGCCGCGUGCGGGAUGACGGCCUUCGGGUUGUAGACCGCUUUCGCCUGUGACGAAGCGUGAGUGACGGUAAUGGGUAAAGAAGCACCGGCUAACUACGUG
rnacentral:rRNA from 1 species